rnacentral:rRNA from 1 species
UACGUAGGGUCCGAGCGUUGUCCGGAAUUACUGGGCGUAAAGAGCUCGUAGGUGGUUUGUCGCGUUGUUCGUGAAAACUCACAGCUUAACUGUGGGCGUGCGGGCGAUACGGGCAGACUGGAGUACUGCAGGGGAGACUGGAAUUCCUGGUGUAGCGGUGGAAUGCGCAGAUAUCAGGAGGAACACCGGUGGCGAAGGCGGGUCUCUGGGCAGUAACUGACGCUGAGGAGCGAAAAGCGUGGGGGAGCGAACAGG